rnacentral:rRNA from 1 species
AAUGAACGCUGGCGGCAUGCCUAACACAUGCAAGUCGAACGAAGGCUUCGGCCUUAGUGGCGCACGGGUGCGUAACGCGUGGGAAUCUGCCCUCAGGUUCGGAAUAACAGCGAGAAAUUGUUGCUAAUACCGGAUGAUAUCGCGAGAUCAAAGAUUUAUCGCCUGAGGAUGAGCCCGCGUAGGAUUAGCUAGUUGGUGUGGUAAAGGCGCACCAAGGCGACGAUCCUUAGCUGGUCUGAGAGGAGGAUCAGCCACACGGGGACUGAGACACGGCCCAGACUCCUACGAGAGGCAGCAGUGGGGAAUAUUGGACAAUGGGCGAAAGCCUGAUCCAGCAAUGCCGCGUGAGUGAUGAAGGCCUUAGGGUUGUAAAGCUCUUUUACCCGGGAUGAUAAUGACAGUACCGGGAGAAUAAGCUCCGGCUAACUCCGUGCCAGCAGCCGCGGUAAAAC